rnacentral:rRNA from 1 species
AUUGAACGCUGGCGGCAUGCUUUACACAUGCAAGUCGAACGGUACCAGGCCGCAAGGUGCUGACGAGUGGCGAACGGGUGAGUAAUGCAUCGGAACGUGCCCAGUCGUGGGGGAUAACUGCUCGAAAGAGCAGCUAAUACCGCAUACGAUCUAUGGAUGAAAGCGGGGGAACGUAAGGCCUCGCGCGAUUGGAACGGCCGAUGUCAGAUUAGGUAGUUGGUGGGGUAAAGGCUCACCAAGCCAACGAUCUUUAGCGGGUCUGAGAGGACGACCAGCCACACUGGGACUGAGACACGGCCCAGACUCCUACGGGAGGCAGCAGUGGGGAAUUUUGGACAAUGGGGGCAACCCUGAUCCAGCAAUGCCGCGUGCAGGAAGAAGGCCUUCGGGUUGUAAACUGCUUUUGUACGGAACGAAACGGUCUGGGUUAAUACCCUGGGCUAAUGACGGUACCGUAAGAAUAAGCACCGGCUAACUACGUGCCAGCCGCCGCGGUAAGAC